UACGAAGGGGGCUAGCGUUGCUCGGAAUCACUGGGCGUAAAGGGUGCGUAGGCGGAUUGUUAAGUCGGGGGUGAAAUCCUGGAGCUCAACUCCAGAACUGCCUUCGAUACUGGCAAUCUAGAGUCCGGAAGAGGUGAGUGGAACUCCUAGUGUAGAGGUGGAAUUCGUAGAGUAUUAGGAAGAACACCAGGUGGCGAAGGCGGUCACAUGGGUCCGGGUACUG
rnacentral:rRNA from 1 species